rnacentral:lncRNA from 1 species
GCCUCCGCGCCGCUCUGUGCUUAGGUGGCCGCGAGGCCGCCUCGACCCAGGGGAGCAGGAAGGAAGCCCGGGAGCGCCCUGCACCUGUGCCUGCCUCUGCGCACCUCCCCAAGAGCCAGGGCCAACGAGGGGUCCCCUCACCCUCAAAUCUACCUCCUCAGAGAGGCUGGUCCUCCCGGGCCUGCCGCGAUCCCUCGGGGUGGUCUCGGUGAGUCAGGGAGGGUCCUUGAAAUAGGGGUCCGGGGCCCGGCCCUCCGACCUGACGGGGACAGCGAGUCACUCAGUGAGUUUGAACAGCUACCUGCUCCUCUGGGCCUCAGUUUCCUCCCUGUGAAGUGAGGGACGGGGCUAAAGGCUGGUAUCCCUGAGCUGAGGCUCCGGAGUUCAGUCCAUCGCCACCAGCUCAGGCACGGAGAAGACAGUCGACCUACGCACAGGAGCCAGGGAAACCGUGUGACCCAAAGUUAACGGGGAGAAACCCAGGUAUGGGGACGUGCUCGGGACAUUUGCAAACGUUCCAUUCCCAAAUGUAUCCCCGGGAGGCGGCCGCGGCAGGAGAUAGACCCAGAGCAUACAGAUGCACCAGUGGAUUUUAUUAGUGUGAACGCAGCAGCCUCGUCGCCCCGGGAGCUUAGCAGGGCGUGAGGGUGAGCAGCGUGUCUUCCCGCACUGUGUCUUCGCUACAGAAGUUGUACCUGGGGAGAAAAGGAAGCUUUGUAAGAGUUUGGGUCACCUUAGCAAAAGCCAGGUGUUUUGUUUUGUUUUGGUUUGGUUUGGUUUGGUUUGGUUUUUCUUAAGGGGUUAAGCCCAGGUCACAGUUGAUGAGUGAUUCAGGAGGCACGAGGGGGCACUAGGGCUGGAGCUGCAACCAGCGCCUACAGCGCUUGCUGCCUGGAGGCUCUAGGACAAGGUCUGCUAUGGUUCUGGAGUGUCACACAGGACGGUGGCCUCCGAAGGCAGGGACUCUCACCUCCUUGUCCCCACAGGCGCCUGGCGGCCUCCAUAGGCCCAGCAGCCUGGCUUACAGAGGGAUGCUGUCUUCCAGUCACUCUCGGAAGGGGACAGCGGCCAACACGCCCUGAGCCCUUCUCAUCUGCAGCCAAUUAUGCUGCUUAAUUCACUUAUGCAAACUGCAUCCUCACCACACAUGUGUGAGGGGGUCUGAUGAUUAGUUCUACAUUACAGGAGAGGAAACUGAGGCACAAAGGGCGCUCCAUUAAUCAGCAGAAUAACAAAGAUGCAAAAACAGGUCCAUCUGAUGCCAGAGGCUGUAUUUUCCAUGGUAGGAUCACACAUCAAGCCUUCCUUGACCUUGUCUUCCAGCUCUGGAGUCGGGGGACCUGGCGUUCCUCCCUGGAGUUCCUCAUGACCUUUCCCUCCCACAUUUGAGUGCUUCGGGGCUAGUUAUCUGAGGACUCUGAGGAAGGAUGUAGUUAGUAACUGGGAAGCUAAAGAAAAUCAAGAUUUUGGUCCAAGCUUUUCUCAGAAUCCCCUCAUAUUUUUUAAUAACCUUAUUGGGGUAUUAAUUCCUACUAAACAACCUGCCCACUAGGAUUCCCUCCAAUGACACAGUAUCAAAAGAGCAAGGCAAGGCCUGGUGUGGUGGCUCAUGCCUGUAAUCCCCACACUUUUGGGAGGUCGAGGCAGGUGGAUCACUUGAGGCCGGGAGUUUGAGACCAGCCUGGCCAACAUGGUGAGACCCUGUCUCUACUAAAAAUACAAAAAUUAGCCGGGCGUGGUGGUGCAUGCCUGUAAUCCCAGCUACUUGGGAGGCUGAGGCACAAGAAUCUCUUGAACCCAGGAGGUGGAGGUUGCAGUGGAGCUGAGAUCAUGCCACUGUACUCUAGCCUGGGCAACAGAGCGAGAUUCCAUCUCAGUCAUUCUCCCACGACUGUUGAGAAUUCCAUGAUAAGAACGUAACAUCCCAUGAUGGUAAAUGUAAAAAGUCUUACAAUUAACAAAAAACAAUGCAGAUGUAAGCAGUUAUUUUUGUGGUUGUUCAAGAACCACGGACUUCUCUCAGGCCUCACCACCUGUGAGCUCGGAAGCUUUGCCCCAUUUCCUCACUGGUGUUCCUUGGCCCCUUCCCACUUUCUCUUCUGUGUUUCAUUUUUUCUGCCAAGAAGCCCUAACUUGGCAUCGGAGGCCUCCGAUCAUAUUCCCUGCACUUGGGCCCUGUCGCCCCUCAUGCACUUGGACCUGUUGCCCUGCCCCUGUGCCCUUCCUCCCUCCUACUCCCUGCCUCAUCCUGAGAGCUGCCCUUCCUUCCAUCACAGCCUCCCCGCGGCCCUCUGCUUUCCUCCUUGGCCACUGUCUUUCUGAGCCUCUCCUGGGAGUUCUUUAUUUGGUCUUUUGACCUUCCCUGUGAACCAUAAGUCUGAUUUUUCUCAACAGCUGAACUGUAAGCUCCUUGAGUGUAGGCUCAGUGUUUGCAUCCCUUACUGUUUGCCAGGCC